CUGCUAUCACAUUUUUAUGUUUGUGAGCCAAUCUUGGCACGGCUUGUGGUGCCUCCUUUAACUAGUGCUCCGUGGAACCCUGGCGAGGCGUCCCUUUGGCCUGCUCACUAACUCCAGUGAUAUGUCCAUUGUAAGGGAUUCAGACCAGAAAGGAGGGAGUUCUGAUUUACAAGUUGUAUUGCAGGGGUUUAUUCUUUACAGGAAACACCAAUCUUCCUGCUAAUUCUACUAAUGUGUAAGUAUAACUAUAGUUUAGAUCGUCUUACUGUGACGUUAUGUAAGGUUUCAGUUAAUAUCUGGUUCUAUGUAAUGGCACCUUCAG